AUGAUUCUUCCCACUCUCCAUCUUCUCUUGUGGAUGUCAGGGAAAGCAUGGAGGUGCCCUCUGACAGUGGAAGCAGGCCAGCUUUCUUGUCCUCAUCCAGUCAGAAUUAUUCAGAUGCAGGGCUUCUUGUCAGGAAUCCCCCAAACAGCCCUGACCAAUUCUUUGUUGCACUUUUCAUUUCUUUUUUUUUUGUCAAGGGCCUUGAAAGUGGAUGAACGGCCAGUGCUUGCACUUGCCGUUGUUAUUUCCAUGCUCCUAGGUCAGGGUGAAGAGUUGCUGACUUGUGGCUCUGCUGGUUUCACCAAGUGAGAUGUCCUGGCCUGACUCCUUCCGCGUGUCUCCAAUUGUCAGGGCAUAAAACAGGAGAAUGCUGGUUGUCCUGGAUGUGUGGAGGAUUUGCUGUGUUUGUUCAGCAUUGGGGAAGGAACCAGACUUGUGAGUUGCAGGAAGGCUUCUCCCUCUGCCUGGGCAUGAGGCCCUGCUGUCUUAUGCGUGAGGUCGCUUCUGAGUGAGGAACUGAUUGGAUAGCAGCAGAGAUGUGUCUGGAAAGGUGCUUGUGAGGUCCUUUCUACCUGAGCAGUUGACAGGUCAGGAGAGGACCCAUGGCUUGGAUGCUGGUGGUGAGGUCACUUCUGGGUUUGUUGCGUGUGCUCAGAGGAGGGAUUGAGCCCUGCAGAGCUCUACAGCAAUACAGAAAUGCAACUCAUUAAUCAAACAGAAGUAGAUGUUCCACAUCAUCUGGCACAAAUUUUGUUCCACUCUGUCAUCAUGCGGUAGUACUGCUACGUUUAAUAUGCAGAUGAUGUUCUGUGGUGAACAUGGACAUGGAGUUUGACAUUCCACUUGUUCCUAAGUAGAAGCUUGCAGCCUCCUGCCGGUCAGCUAGGGAGUCCAGCUAGACUUUUGAGGCUGCUAAAUGAAUCUAGUGGUGGUGUGAGCAGUGGUCUUAGUAAUCUCUUCUUCCCAGAGUGUGUGUGCUUUAGAAAUUGCCCCUGUCAAAAGAGCAAGGAGCUUGUGAGAUUUUCCUGCCAGGUCUGGAUGCUGUCUCUGGCUUUCAGGUGUCCACCGGCUUUUAUGACACAUUUGGGACUGUAAUACAUUAGAGGUCUCUGAUUUCUGUCCAUGUAUGCAGUCAUUGGGGAAUGGGUGCAAAGGCUGUUGGAGGAGACAGAAGGAAUGUCACCCCCCCAAAAAACAAAGGUAUGGGCCACAUUUCAAAGAGAUUUCUUGUUCGGAGGAGUUGAGGCACAAGCAAGAGGCAAGAGCUGGCCUGAUCAGCCCCUGUGAGAGCACUCGCUGUCUGUUUCCU
rnacentral:lncRNA from 1 species